UACGUAGGUGGCAAGCGUUGUCCGAAUUUACUGGGCGUAAAGGGCGUGCAGGCGGUUUGUUAAGUGCAGGGUGAAAGCUCCCGGCUCAACUGGGAGAGGUCCUUGCAUACUGGCGAACUCGAGGGAGGCAGAGGAAAGUGGAAUUCCCGGUGUAGUGGUGAUAUGCGUAGAUAUCGGGAGGAACACCUGUGGCGAAGGCGGCUUUCUGGGCCUUACCUGACGCUGAGACGCGAAAGCGUGGGGAGCGAACCGG
rnacentral:rRNA from 1 species